CUAAGUUUCAUUUCAAUUUGAGAUUGUUUCUUAAUAUUGAAAAACUCAAACAAAUCUAAUUUUGCUACAUACUAAAAAGUGCUAUUUAAUGUUUUAUACUUGUAAGAAUUUUGAGACGAAUGUAGAACCUAAGUAAAAAUGUAGGAACAGGGAAACACCUUAACUGAAUUUGUAGAUCGGUUGUGAAAGAUUCUUUCCAAAUAUAUCCAAAAGAAAGAAAGGGGCUAUUCUAUCCAUAAGCUGAUCAAAAGUAGUGAGAUUCAUUGAACAUGUCAAGAAUUGAACGAUCCACAGGCACAAGAUUUGCUGAAAUGAGACUUUACAUUAUAAUUUCUGUAUUAUCUGAAUAUAUUUUAAUUUAGAAUAUAUAUGAAUAUCAAAAACAUUCAAUACAUGUUUUACUUUCAUACUUGAAAAGGGGUUAGUUAAUGUUUUAUCCUUAAAGGAACAAAAAUACACAUGAUUUACUACAGCUUGAAAUUAAUAAAGAAGAAAACCCUUUAAAAAUAUCAUCCCAACAGUAAUAAAGGAUAAGAGGACCAUAGUUGCGUUGAGACGAUGACCUGAUACUCAAUAUCUGACCUUUUACAAUAUUGUCAUACCUGUUUACGUCAGGACCUGCAGCAUGUGUCUAAAUAUCUACAAGUAACUUUCAUUUGCAUGUCUUUCAAAUAUAUUUGUAUCAUUAAUUCGUUACAGGUUAAACAAACCGAGGAAUUUUACUUAUGAGUAUAAUGUUUAAAGUACGUCAUGCAGCUGAGGUUCCCCGGUAAUAGAAAGUAGGAUAUAAUUCAUUUUGCUACUGCAUCAAUAUCAUGUACUAGUAAUUGAAAUAUUUAUAUAACUAUGAAGUAAAUUUAGAAUUGAUCUGAACAUGGAAAGUAACUGCAAUUACAAAUAGUGGCAGCCUAGAACAUGUCGAAAAUGGAAUUGAUAAUUAAGUGCAUAUAUCAUUCUUGUAUCUUUAGGCUACAUUUUAGUUAAGGUGAUAUCUGAACAUUAUAAAAACAUAAUACGAAAACUCUUUGGGAGCACAGAAUACAGCUAAGCAAAAUACAAAAUACUCGGUUUGAUUGCGUCAGUUUAUAAGAGAUCAUGUAAAGUACAAUAUUUGUAUAUCCAAACACUGAUCUUGUAGAUAGAUUUGAACAUAACAAGAGAAACGACAAAAAAUUCAAAGAAGUGAAAGUCAUUGAAAAUGUUAGGAGAGAAUUUUAAAUUUUGAUGCAAUAAACGUAUGUAUGAUACAUAAAAAUACUUCUUUGUCUUCCGUAAUGUUUCAAAAACAAAGUUUAUGUUUUAUCCUUUUAAAUACACAGAUGGUAACCACAGCAUGACAACAAUGAAGUAAUUUCUAUAGCUUUUUUCUGUAGCCAAGACUCAGAAGAUAUAAUUCAAGCAACCAAAAAUACGUAAAGGACAAUUGUGGCCUAAAGUCUAUCACUCGAUCUUGAUUAUAAGACGUUGCAACAUUAUGUCAUACAUGUCUAUAUUUGGAUCUGUAGAUGCAAAAAGACACAGGUGGGAUCAUACAUUGAAAUUUAAGAAGAUUUAAAGUAUGUUACUGGAUCUGUAAAUUAGACUCAGCAUAUAUUACCCAAACAAUAAUAAGUAACAAGAGGGCCAUAGAGGCAUUUAGUCGCUAUCUUACAUUUGGUAUCAUACCUUGCACUAUUGUAUCUACAUCUGGAUCUCCAGCAAGGUUCUGAAUGUGCAAAAUGACACAGGUGGAAACGUGAAACUAUAGCAAGAUGUUAACUGGAUCUGUAGAUACGAUUCAGCACAUAUUAUCCACGCAACAGGGAGUAAUGAGAGGGACAUCGAGGCCUUAAGUCGCUCACUUGACCGAAAUUGCUAUGACAAUCUGAACUCUACAUGGAUGACCUAGAUUCGAAUGAAUCUGUCAGAGUAGCCACUCAAGAAACAUUGAUGUUAUUAGCUUGCUGGUUAGGGGUAUGGGAUGUCCUUUAAACAAAUUCGCCAAGGUUCGUAUUUAAAGAACAGACGACGGACUUUAAACGAUUACAAAACCUGAUCAAGUUCUGAUCUAAAAUGAAGAGUGAAGGGUUCGCAUACAACUGAGGCAAAUUAAAUGAGGAUGCAAUCGUACAUGCAGUUAGUUCAGUCAAUAGAGCCCCAUUCUGAAAGCCAGGGUUCUCGGGUUAGAGGCACAGAAUGACUACACUUGUUUCUCUCUGAAGACAGAGCAGCAAGAAAAACAACCACUUGUUAGGGCCCGAUGAAACAGGCCAGAGACAAAUAUAAUAACCAGUUGUGGUGAAGACAAAGAUCUACAGAGUCCUUCGUCUGUUCCGCCAUACAAAAAUCAAAGAGGAAAGCUUAUUUUCUAACUGUAUAUGGGCUGAAGAAUAAAUAUGCAAAAAGGGGUGCACACUUUGUUCCCAUGGUAAUACAAAUGUCUUGUCUGAUAACUGCAUUUCCAAACCUGACGUAAAUAUUGUUCAAUAAAAAGGAAAGGGCUUUACAAACUUCAUCACAUGUUCACAUUUUUUUUCAAUUUCACCAGUGAAAAAUUCUUUCCUCGAAAUUGCAAACGACAAAAGUAGCAUUUUUCCUAUCAAAAGUCUUUUGAAAUAAGGCAGUUAGUCCAUUCUUUUAUUAGGGUAUGUGGUUAAAUUGAAUACAAAGUAGAAGAAACAUCGCAUCUACUGACUGUAAGCCCCUUGUAAUUAUUAGUUUAAAAUUCAUCAAUAAUUACGCCAGGAUCUUUUAACGUACAUAAGAUUUUACCAUAAUGUUCAUAUACUGUAUCACAAUUAUCUUUUCACGUGGGCUUUUACAGCAGUAAGGCAUGAUGUUAAAUAUUGGAAAUGUUUGGAUAAAACGAGCUUUACGUGGUUGUUUAUCUAAUUUUGAAAUCAAGUACAUCCUUUGAAGUUUAAUUUUCUGUGAUGAAAUCCGUUAUCAAAUGUUGUUCAACAGGAGUGAUCAAUGUACAAACUGUAGUACUAUUUACUUCGUUUCGUAAAAUAUUAAUAUAAUUCAACAUCAUACGAUGAUCAUAUUGUUAGCCGUCUUCUCUAUUGAAAUAAAACAUACUUAGAAUGAUAUUCUUGGACUUUUUGUCGGAUACUUCAAAGUUAACUUGUGUUUACGUGGAAGUAGAUUCUUAUUUAUUUUAUAGAAUUUAAUACGAAAAUUGACAAUAUUAAAGAUAUUACGUUUCCAAGACGACAAUGCAUUGGGAUCAACAUUUU